UCGCAAGACCUUGCGCUAAAGGAGCGGCCGAUGUCUGAUUAGCUAGUUGGUGGGGUAAAGGCCUACCAAGGCGACGAUCAGUAGUUGGUCUGAGAGGACGACCAACCACACUGGGACUGAGACACGGCCCAGACUCCUACGGGAGGCAGCAGUGGGGAAUUUUGGACAAUGGGCGCAAGCCUGAUCCAGCCAUGCCGCGUGAGUGAAGAAGGCCUUCGGGUUGUAAAGCUCUUUCAGUCGGAAAGAAACGAUUGUGAUUAAUACUCACAAUUAAUGACGGUACCGACAGAAGAAGCACCGGCUAACUACGUGCCAGCAGCCGCGGUAAUACGUAGGGUGCGAGCGUUAAUCGGAAUUACUGGGCGUAAAGGGUGUGCAGGCGGUCUUGUAAGUCAGAUGUGAAAUCCCCGGGCUUAACCUGGGAAUUGCGUUUGAAACUACAAAGCUAGA
rnacentral:rRNA from 1 species